GAUGAAGAACGCAGCGAAAUGCGAUAAGUAGUGUGAAUUGCAGAAUUCAGUGAAUCAUCGAAUCUUUGAACGCACAUUGCGCCCCUUGGUAUUCCAUGGGGCAUGCCUGUUCGAGCGUCAUUUGUACCUUCAAGCUUUGCUUGGUGUUGGGUGUUUGUCUCGCCUCUGCGUGUAGACUCGCCUUAAAACAAUUGGCAGCCGGCGUAUUGAUUUCGGAGCGCAGUACAUCUCGCGCUUUGCACUCAUAACGACGACGUCCAAAAGUACAUUUUUACACUCUUGACCUCGGAUCAGGUAGGGAUACCCGCUGAACUUAAGCAUAUCAAAAGCGGAGGA
rnacentral:misc_RNA from 1 species